rnacentral:rRNA from 1 species
CGAUGGGUACUAGGUGUCUGGGGGAGCGACCCCCUCGGGUGCCGGCGCUAACGCAUGAAGUACCCCGCCUGGGAGUACGGCCGCAAGGCUGAAACUCAAAGGAAUUGACGGGGCCCGCACAAGCGGUGGAGCAUGUGGUUAAUUCGACGCAACGCGAAGAACCUUACCUGGGCUUGACAUGCUGGAGAAAGCUUGCGGAAACGUGAGCCCCUCUUCGGAGUCCAGCACAGAUGCUGCAUGGCUGUCGUCAGCUCGUGUCGUGAGAUGUUGGGUUAAGUCCCGCAACGAGCGCAACCCUCACUCUUAGUUACCAGCGGGGUAAAGCCGGGGACUCUAGGGGGACUGCCGGUGCCAAACCGGAGGAAGGUGGGGAUGACGUCAAGUCAUCAUGGCUCUUACGUCCAGGGCUACACACGUGCUACAAUGGGC